AGAUGAUGUUUCCGGCUGAGGACAUUUGGUUGUGCCCACUGAACUUUGGUUGUCAAAAUCUCCUCACAAUCUGUACUGCUGUUGGACCCUCUUGGAAAUGAAGGUUGUUAUGAAAGGAAAAUUAUGCGUAACUGGAGGAAUUUUCUGAAGAUGAAAGGAAAGGAAGAGUCCCGAGUGGAUUGGAAAAUGGAGACUCUGACUGUGUCCGAAUUCAGGGGAAGGAUGCUCAUAAGGACACUACCUACCUACGUCACAAGUUUGCCGAACACUACCUUCUGAGUGGAGAGGUUACUAGGGUGCUGUCCACUCCAGAAGCCGUUGGGCUGCAACGCACUGAAAUUGCUUGCGAACUGCUAGAACAUCAAGGUAAUGCUGAUGACUACUGUGUGGUUUGUUCCAUGCUGGAAGGCGAUGCUGAGUCCAGUAUGAUUGAAAUGGUGCAGUGUGACUUUUGUCUCAGAUGGGCACAUUUUGGAUGUGCUCAAUAUGAGAGCAGCCUGGUCAAGUACUUGUGU